rnacentral:rRNA from 1 species
GGAGAAAAGCAGGGGAUCGCAAGACCUUGCGCUAAAGGAGCGGCCGAUGUCUGAUUAGCUAGUUGGUGGGGUAAAGGCUUACCAAGGCAACGAUCAGUAGUUGGUCUGAGAGGACGGCCAACCACACUGGGACUGAGACACGGCCCAGACUCCUACGGGAGGCAGCAGUGGGGAAUUUUGGACAAUGGGCGAAAGCCUGAUCCAGCCAUGCCGCGUGAGUGAAGAAGGCCUUCGGGUUGUAAAGCUCUUUUAGUCGGAAAGAAAGAGUUGCAAUGAAUAAUUGUGAUUUAUGACGGUACCGACAGAAAAAGCACCGGCUAGCUACGUGCCAGCAGCCGCGGUAAUACGUAGGGUGCGAGCGUUAAUCGGAAUUACUGGGCGUAAAGGGUGCGCAGGCGGUUUUGCAAGUCAGAUGUGAAAUCCCCGGGCUUAACCUGGGAACUGCGUUUGAAACUACAAAGCUAG